rnacentral:lncRNA from 1 species
AUGAAGCAAAGUGUGAAUGACAAGGCAUGGGAAGAUUUCACCUUUGCGCACCCAAACCUUACGUGUUUUGGGUUGCGUCGGUUCACUUGCUUUUGGUGAUCGUGGCUUGUCGACGAUUUGAAUUAACUUCUUCUUCAGAUCCUCCUUCUUUGGUUUCCAUGCUUGUUUUGCCUUUGAUUUCGAAGCAUUCUUCUUUGAUGUCCAUGUUUGUUUCUUCUUAUGAUCAUCCUUCUUUGGAGUCCAAGUUGACUUCCCUUUUGAUUUAGGAUUAUUCUUCAUGGGCAUUAAUGAUGUUCUUUGAUUCAAGGGUGUUGUUGAGCUCUUACCCUUUUGUUUGCAAAAUUUCUUUAUAU